rnacentral:rRNA from 1 species
UACGGGGGGGGCAAGCGUUGUUCGGAAUUACUGGGCGUAAAGGGCUCGUAGGCGGCCAACUAAGUCGGACGUGAAAUCCCUCGGCUUAACCGGGGAACUGCGUCCGAUACUGGAUGACUUGAGUUCGGGAGAGGGAUGCGGAAUUCCAGGUGUAGCGGUGAAAUGCGUAGAUAUCUGGAGGAACACCGGUGGCGAAGGCGGCAUCCUGGACCGACACUGACGCUGAGGAGCGAAAGCCAGGGGAGCAAACGGG